CCUACGGGAGGCAGCAGUGGGGAAUUUUGGACAAUGGGCGAAAGCCUGAUCCAGCAAUGCCGCGUGAGUGAAGAGGGCCUUCGGGUUGUAAAGCUCUUUUGUCAGGGAAGAAACGGUGAGAGCUAAUAUCUCUUGCUAAUGACGGUACCUGAAGAAUAAGCACCGGCUAACUACGUGCCAGCAGCCGCGGUAAUACGUAGGGUGCAAGCGUUAAUCGGAAUUACUGGGCGUAAAGCGUGCGCAGGCGGUUUUGUAAGUCUGAUGUGAAAUCCCCGGGCUCAACCUGGGAAUUGCAUUGGAGACUGCAAGGCUAGAAUCUGGCAGAGGGGGGUAGAAUUCCACGUGUAGCAGUGAAAUGCGUAGAUAUGUGGAGGAACACCGAUGGCGAAGGCAGCCCCCUGGGUCAAGAUUGACGCUCAUGCACGAAAGCGUGGGGAGCAAACAGGAUUAGAUACCCUGGUAGUCCACGCCCUAAACGAUGUCUACUAGUUGUCGGGUCUUAAUUGACUUGGUAACGCAGCUAACGCGUGAAGUAGACCGCCUGGGGAGUACGGUCGCAAGNUUAAAACGUCAAAGGAAUUGACGGCNGAGAGNGCGAGACGACGACGAGGGAGAGG
rnacentral:rRNA from 1 species